rnacentral:rRNA from 1 species
UACGUAGGUGGCAAGCGUUGUCCGGAAUUAUUGGGCGUAAAGAGCUCGUAGGCGGUCUGUUGCGUCUGCUGUGAAAACCCGGGGCUUAACCCCUGGCUUGCAGUGGAUACGGACAGACUAGAGGUAGGUAGGGGAGAAUGGAAUUCCCGGUGUAGCGGUGAAAUGCGCAGAUAUCGGGAGGAACACCGGUGGCGAAGGCGGUUCUCUGGGCCUUACCUGACGCUGAGGAGCGAAAGCGUGGGGAGCGAACAGG